AUCUGGCAGAUGAGUCCCAAAUAGGACGAAACGCGCUUCUUGGAU
rnacentral:hammerhead_ribozyme from 1 species